rnacentral:rRNA from 1 species
ACGACUGCUAAGACUGGAUAGGAGACAAGAAGGCAUCUUCUUUUUUUUAAAAGACCUAGCAAUAGGUAUGCUUAGGGAGGAGCUUGCGUCACAUUAGUUAGUUGGUGGGGUAAAGGCCUACCAAGACUAUGAUGUGUAGCCGGGCUGAGAGGUUGAACGGCCACAUUGGGACUGAGACACGGCCCAAACUCCUACGGGAGGCAGCAGUAGGGAAUUUUCGGCAAUGGAGGAAACUCUGACCGAGCAACGCCGCGUGAACGAUGAAGUAUUUCGGUACGUAAGGUUCUUUUAUUAGGGAAGAAUAAAUGAUGGAAAAAUCAUUCUGACGGUACCUAAUGAAUAAGCCCCGGCUAACUAUGUGCCAGCAGCCGCGGUAAUACAUAGGGGGCAAGCGUUAUCCGGAAUUAUUGGGCGUAAAGGGUGCGUAGGCGGUUAAAUAAGUUUAUGGUCUAAGUGCAAUGCUCAACAUUGUGAUGCUAUAAAAACUGUUUAGCUAGAGUAAGAUAGAGGCAAGUGGAAUUCCAUGUGUAGUGGUAAAAUGCGUAAAUAUAUGGAGGAACACCAGUAGCGAAGGCGGCUUGCUGGGUCUUUACUGACGCUGAGUCACGAAAGCGUGGGGAGCAAACAGGAUUAGAUACCCUGGUAGUCCACGCCGUAAACGAUGAGUACUAAACGUUGGGUAAAACCAGUGUUGAAGUUAACACAUUAAGUACUCCGCCUGAGUAGUACGUACGCAAGUAUGAAACUUAAAGGAAUUGACGGGACUCCGCACAAGCGGUGGAUCAUGUUGUUUAAUUCGAAGGUACCCGAAAAACCUCACCAGGUCUUGACAUGCUUCUGCAAAGCUGUAGAAACACAGUGGAGGUUAUCAGUUGCACAGGUGGUGCAUGGUUGUCGUCAGCUCGUGUCGUGAGAUGUUGGGUUAAGUCCCGCAACGAGCGCAACCCUUAUUGUUAGUUACCAGCACGUAAUGGUGGGGACUUUAGCAAGACUGCUGGUGAUAAAUUGGAGGAAGGUGGGGACGACGUCAAAUCAUCAUGCCCCUUAUGACCUGGGCUACAAACGUGAUACAAUGGCUGUUACAAAGGGUAGCUGAAGCGCAAGUUUUUGGCGAAUCUCAAAAAAACAGUCUCAGUUCGGAUUGAAGUCUGCAACUCGACUUCAUGAAGUUGGAAUCGCUAGUAAUCGCGAACCAGCAUGUCGCGGUGAAUACGUUCUCGGGGUUUGUACACACCGCCCGUCA